UCAAGCGAUCCUGCGCGGAAAAUGUAACGGGGCUCAAGCCAGUCGCCGAAGGUAUGGGUUUGCACUUUGUGCAAGCGGUAGCGGAGCGUUCCGUAAGCCGGUGAAGGUCAACUGUGAGGUUGGCUGGAGGUAUCGGAAGUGAGAAUGCUGACAUGAGUAACGAUAAACAGUGUGAGAAACACUGUCGCCGAAAGACCAAGGGUUCCUGCGUAAAGCUAAUCUGCGCAGGGUUAGUCGGCCCCUAAGGCGAGGCUGAAAAGCGUAGUCGAUGGGAAGCAGGUAAAUAUUCCUGCACCAGCUGGAAGUGACGGAUGGCGUAAGUUGUCAGGGCUUAUUGGAUUGUCCUGGCAGCGAAGUUGUCCCUGGAAAUAACUCCAGCAGAGACCGUACCCGAAACCGACACAGGUGGUCAGGUAGAGUAUACCAAGGCGCUUGAGAGAACUGUGCUGAAGGAACUCGGCAAAUUGCACGCGUAACUUCGGAAUAAGCGUGACUCACCCAGCGCAAGCUGGACUGAGUGGCACAAGCCAGGGGGUAGCGACUGUUUAGCAAAAACACAGGGCUCUGCGAAGCAGCAAUGCGACGUAUAGGGUCUGACGCCUGCCCGGUGCCUGAAGGUUAAAGGGAGAUGUGAAAGCGUCGAACUGAAG
rnacentral:ncRNA from 1 species